UACGUAGGCAGCAAGCGUUGUUCGGAGUUACUGGGCGUAAAGGGUGUGUAGGUGCCUGUUAAGUUCCGUGUGAAAUCUCCCGGCUCAACCGGGAGGGUGCGCGGAAAACUGGCGGGCUAGAGUACGGGCGAUGGGAGAGUAGAAUUCCUGGUGUAGCGGUGAAAUGCGUAGAUAUCAGGAGGAAUACCGGUGGUGUAGACGGCUCUCUGGAACGCAACUGACGCUGAGACGCGAAAAGCGUGGGGAGCAAACAGG
rnacentral:rRNA from 1 species